AACGAACGCUGGCGGCAGGCUUAACACAUGCAAGUCGAACGGUUGUAGCAAUACAGCAGUGGCAGACGGGUGAGUAACACGUGGGAACCUUCCUAGAGGUACGGAACAACUCAGGGAAACUUGAGCUAAUACCGUAUACGCUCGUGAGAGGAAAGAUUUAUCGCCUUUAGACGGGCCCGCGUCGGAUUAGGUAGUUGGUGGGGUAACGGCCUACCAAGCCUACGAUCCGUAGCUGAUCUGAGAGGAUGAUCAGCCACACUGGGACUGAGACACGGCCCAGACUCCUACGGGAGGCAGCAGUGGGGAAUAUUGGACAAUGGGGGCAACCCUGAUCCAGCCAUGCCGCGUGAGUGAUGAAGGCCCUAGGGUUGUAAAGCUCUUUCGGCGGGGACGAUAAUGACGGUACCCGCAGAAGAAGCCCCGGCUAACUUCGUG
rnacentral:rRNA from 1 species